UGGAGGUAGUGACAAUAAAUCACAAUGCGGAACAAUGUUUUGCAAUUGGAUUGAGAACAACGUACAAACCUUAUCGAUAAACAAUUGGAGGGCAAGUCUGGUGCCAGCAGCCGCGGUAAUUCCAGCUCCAAUAGCGUAUAUUAACGUUGUUGCAGUUAAAAAGCUCGUAGUUGAAAUGAAGGGUAGUUGUGUAAUGAAUACAUUCGUGUAUUUUGUUAUUCAAGUACCCUCCUUCUAAAUUCGAUAUAUGAGUAUUAAUUUACUUGUAUAUGGUUUUAGACAUUUACUGUGAGAAAAUUAGAGUGUUCAAAGCAGGCAUUUGCUUGAAUAUAUUAGCAUGGAAUAAUCAUGUAUGAUUUUGCAUGAUGUAUUUGAUUGGUUUGGUUCAUGAGAAUAAGAUUAAAAGGGACAGUUGGGGGUAUUCAUAUUCAAUAGUCAGAGGUGAAAUUCUCGGAUUUAUGGAAGAUGAACAAGUGCGAAAGCAA
rnacentral:rRNA from 1 species